rnacentral:rRNA from 1 species
UGGGGAAUAUUGCACAAUGGGCGCAAGCCUGAUGCAGCCAUGCCGCGUGUAUGAAGAAGGCCUUAGGGUUGUAAAGUACUUUCAGCGGGGAGGAAGGUGAUAAGGUUAAUACCCUUAUCAAUUGACGUUACCCGCAGAAGAAGCACCGGCUAACUCCGUGCCAGCAGCCGCGGUAAUACGGAGGGUGCAAGCGUUAAUCGGAAUUACUGGGCGUAAAGCGCACGCAGGCGGUCAAUUAAGUCAGAUGUGAAAGCCCCGAGCUUAACUUGGGAAUUGCAUCUGAAACUGGUUGGCUAGAGUCUUGUAGAGGGGGGUAGAAUUCCAUGUGUAGCGGUGAAAUGCGUAGAGAUGUGGAGGAAUACCGGUGGCGAAGGCGGCCCCCUGGACAAAGACUGACGCU